GGAGGUAUAUCUCAGUUGGUAGAGCACUUGCCUCACAUGCACAAAGGCCCUGGGUUCAAUCCCCAGCACCACCA
rfam:Ictidomys tridecemlineatus contig024035, whole genome shotgun sequence.